rnacentral:rRNA from 1 species
AGGGUCCUACGGGGCGCAGCAGUGGGGAAUAUUGCACAAUGGGGGGAACCCUGAUGCAGCGACGCCGCGUGGGUGAAGGAGUACUUCGGUACGUAAAGCCUUAUCAGCAGGGAAGAAAAUGACGGUACCUGACUAAGAAGCCCCGGCUAACUACGUGCCAGCAGCCGCGGUAAUACGUAGGGGGCAAGCGUUAUCCGGAUUUACUGGGUGUAAAGGGAGCGUAGACGGCAGUGCAAGUCCGGAGUGAAAGCCCGGGGCUCAACCAUGGGACUGCUCUGGAAACUGUACAGCUGGAGUGCGGGAGG